UCCGUUAUCGUCCAGCGGUUAGGAUAUCUGGCUUUCACCCAGGAGACCCGGGUUCCCGGUAACGGAA
rfam:Nicotiana attenuata strain TT chromosome 1, whole genome shotgun sequence.